CAGCAGCCGCGGUAAUACAGAGGGUGCGAGCGUUAAUCGGAUUUACUGGGCGUAAAGCGUGCGUAGGCGGCUUCUUAAGUCGGAUGUGAAAUCCCUGAGCUUAACUUAGGAAUUGCAUUCGAUACUGGGAAGCUAGAGUAUGGGAGAGGAUGGUAGAAUUCCAGGUGUAGCGGUGAAAUGCGUAGAGAUCUGGAGGAAUACCGAUGGCGAAGGCAGCCAUCUGGCCUAAUACUGACGCUGAGGUACGAAAGCAUGGGGAGCAAACAGGAUUAGAUACCCCUGUAUCCCUGUCUCUUAUCCA
rnacentral:rRNA from 1 species